ACAUAAAGCUGCUCUGUUCUUUGUUUGCUGGUUUUGACUGAAAACUCCUCCUGUGCUGUGUAAAUAAGAGCUGGUUGGGAAGUGAAGAAGGGAGCCCCUCCAAAGAGCAUCUCCGGGUGCAGCUGUGCCCGCAGGAGUCGCUGCGAGGACGCGGGGUGCCCGGCUGGCAGUGACGAGUCCAUCCACACUCUGCUCCCAACACGCUCCUGCUCCAAGGGUAACGGGCUUUCCCCAGCUGGAUUUAUCGGAGACACUGGACCCUUCUUCCUGAGCAAAUUAGGCUUUGGAGAUGCAGGACAGCAGGGGACAUGUCUCUGGAAAUGCUGCUGGAGGGACCUGGAGCGAGGAGGGAGAGCAGGUCCCUGUGGCUGGAGAUGGGGGAACGAGGAGGGAAGCGCCCAGUCGGGACCAACGCGCCUCUGCAUCUUGCUGCCGAACUCGGCCGGAGACUCGAUGUUCGAGAAGCGGAGCGACCUUUGCUGCGCCCCAGCUGCUGCUGGCGAGCUCAGCUUGCAGUACCCAGUGAGGUUUGUUUGCUGCUCGGAUACUGUGGCAAUGGCUUGGAGCUGUAAAAGACCCUCCCCUGCAUUGAAGCCCGUCGAGGACGCCUGACGGUAUCGGGGGCCGGAGCGUCAUGGCCUCGCUGGAGAGG
rnacentral:lncRNA from 1 species